rnacentral:rRNA from 1 species
GUUAGGAAUAUUGGACAAUGGGCGCAAGCCUGAUCCAGCCAUGCCGCGUGAGUGUUGAAGGCCUUCGGGUUGUAAAGCUCUUUAGUCCACGAAUAUAAUGACUGUAGUGGAAGAAUAAGCCCCGGCUAACUUCGUGCCAGCAGCCGCGGUAAUACGAAGGGGGCGAGCGUUAUUCGGAAUCACUGGGCGUAAAGCGUGCGUAGGCUGUUUUGUAAGUCAGAAGUGAAAGCCCAGGGCUUAACCCUGGAAUUGCUUUUGAAACUACAAGACUCGAAUUCGGGAGAGGAUAGCGGAAUUGUCAGUGUAGCAGUGAAAUGCGUAGAUAUUGACAGGAACACCAGUGGCGCAAGCGGCUAUCUGGACCGAUAUUGACGCUGAGGCACGAAAGCGUGGGGAGCAAACAGGAUUAGAAACCCUAGUAGUCC